GACGAACGCUGGCGGCGUGCUUAACACAUGCAAGUCGAGCGGUAAGGCCCUUUCGGGGGUACACGAGCGGCGAACGGGUGAGUAACACGUGGGUGACCUGCCCUCAGCUCUGGGAUAAGCCUGGGAAACUGGGUCUAAUACCGGAUAUGACUCCAUGACGCAUGUUGUGGGGUGGAAAGCCUUGUGCGGCUGAGGAUGGGCCCGCGGCCUAUCAGCUUGUUGGUGGGGNGAUGGCCUACCAAGGCGACGACGGGUAGCCGGCCUGAGAGGGCGACCGGCCACACUGGGACUGAGACACGGCCCAGACUCCUACGGGAGGCAGCAGGUGGGGAAUCUUGCGCAAUGGGCGAAAGCCUGACGCAGCGACGCCGCGUGGAGGAU
rnacentral:rRNA from 1 species